AUGAGUGAGACGGUGAAGGUUUUGAGCGCUUUCGGUAGCAUGUACGGCCACCGUCCGGAGGUGGCCCUGAGGCUCAAGGGAAUACCUUACCAGCUGCUGCUCACCCACAACCCUGUCCACAAACUGGUCUCGGUGCUACUCCACGGCGACAGGUCCAUCUGCGAGUCAGUCGUCGUCAUCUAUAUACGAAAAAAUUGCAUGUGA
rnacentral:rRNA from 1 species